rnacentral:lncRNA from 1 species
GCCACAUCCCCAGCCCUUUUUGUAUUUUAUUUAGAGACAGGGUCUCACUGAGUUGCCUGGGGCCUCGCUAAAUUGCUGAGGCUGGCUUUGAACUUGCCAUCUCCUGCCUCAGCCUCCUGAGCCGCUGGGAUUACAGGUGUGCCGCCCUGUGGCUCCAGGACUCUUCAUUUUCUGAUACCUUUGCGUGUUCUGUUCACUCCUUGAAAUGCCAUUCCCAGCAGCCACACUCUCCAGGCUCCCAUCAUUUCCCAAGGUCAUGUCUCGUUUCCCCUUUUAGAAUGAUGUGUCCUCCUUCUUACCUCCCUCAAUACCUCAGGAUCAUUUAUUUCAGAAUAGCCUGAAUCAUAGGUGAUUUUAAGUCCUCC